rnacentral:rRNA from 1 species
UGGGGAAUAUUGGACAAUGGGCGAAAGCCUGAUCCAGCAAUGCCGCGUGAGUGAUGAAGGCCUUAGGGUUGUAAAGCUCUUUUACCAGGGAUGAUAAUGACAGUACCUGGAGAAUAAGCUCCGCCUAACUCCGUGCCAGCAGCCGCGGUAAUACGGAGGGAGCUAGCGUUGUUCGGAAUUACUGGGCGUAAAGCGUACGUAGGCGGUGACUCAAGUCAGAGGUGAAAGCCUGGAGCUCAACUCCAGAACUGCCUUUGAAACUAGGUCGCUAGAAUCACGGAGAGGUGAGUGGAAUUCCGAGUGUAGAGGUGAAAUUCGUAGAUAUUCGGAAGAACACCAGUGGCGAAGGCGGCUCACUGGACGUGUAUUGACGCUGAGGUACGAAAGCGUGGGGAGCAAACAGGAUUAGAUACCCACGUAGUCCCUGAGCGGGCUGGCAAGGCGCAU